rnacentral:rRNA from 1 species
AGUGAACGCUGGCGGUAGGCCUAACACAUGCAAGUCGAACGGCAGCACAGUAAGAGUUUGCUCUUACGGGUGGCGAGUGGCGGACGGGUGAGGAAUACAUCGGAAUCUACUUUUUCGUGGGGGUUAACGUAGGUAAACUUACCCUAAUACCGCAUACGACCCACUGGUGAAAGCAGGGGAUAUUCGGACCUUGUGCGAUUGAAUUCGCCGCGGUCGUAUUAGCUAGUUGGCGGGGUUAAGGCCCACCAAGGCGACGAUCCGUAGCUGGUCUGAGAGGCUGGUCGGCCUCACUGGAACUAAGGCACUGUCCAGGCUCCUGCGGGAAGUAGCAGUGGGUUAUAUUAGGCAAUUGGGGCAAACCUUAUCCACCCUAACCGCGUGAGUGAAGAACCCCCUCGGUUUGUAAAGCCCUUUUGUUGGGAAAUAAAAGCAGCAGGUUAAGACCCCGCUGUUCUGACGGUACCCAAUGAAUAAGCACCGGCUAACUUCGUG